rnacentral:lncRNA from 1 species
CAAAUCAAUCGAUAAAGGAUUUGCAGCGUAGAAUACAAGAUUGAUAACGUACUCUAACAAAACCUAACAGAAUACAAACAAAAUACUCGGAUCGUGGCUGGAAUGAAAGGAUCUGCUUUCUUUAUAUAAAGCCUUGGACUGUUUUUUUGACUGUCAUUCUAAUGAUGUGCGAAUCGACGUACAAGGGAUAGCAACGACAGGUAACAUGGUAAUUUUGCACAGGAAAAUUUGUACAGAUCACCACGUAUAUCACUUGAAAGUCGGGAUAACCAAGGUUUAAGGAUCGACGCUUGAAAAUAGGUAAGUAAAUAAGCACCUCGAACCACCACACUAGAUAGCAAACUGAAUAAAAAGAAAACGACCCCAAGUGAAAGAAAAUUCUUACAAACAUUCAAAUUAAAAAGAGAAAUUUGAAGGAUAGAACGAAGCAAUGAAUUAAGAUUCGUUGAAAUUCUAUACUCUCAACACACACAAGUCGCAUGUCCUUUUUGCAUGACAACACAUCACUUGACUAAAUUGUAGACAGCAUCUACUAAAAAUAGGUAAAUUUUAUUUGCAGAUUGACGUCGAUCUGUCACAACCAUCUUAUUAUUAUUUCAGAAAAAAAAAAAGGACCAGUCGAUGGUAGUAUCGUAACUGGUGCCAAAAGGGGAUCGCCACAUGGAACAAUCCAUGAUCUUUUUUUUUUGCACUAUCAGAGGACGGAGUGUUUUAAUACACUGCUUGAAUACAGUUUAGUGUCAACUACAGUAAGACAUUCAAUUUUGACGAAUAAUUAAAAUAUUUUAUAUUGAUUUUAAAAAGUAUUUGAUAAUGAGCCCACCACUUUGGGAACAAAUAUGAAAAUCAACUUAGGAGAUUCAAGUCUAGAGCAAUAAAUCACGGGGAAAGUGUCAUGACGAUCGAACGCUUAUCAGAAAAUCCGAUAAUCAUUUCUUUUUCCAACUUGAAGCAACUUAAAAAGAACUUGAAAGAAAAGCGUUACGUUCAUAAUGAGCUUGCACAAAAAGAUUUACACAUACCACAUACCUUAGAAACACUGAGAAUGAGAAAUUUUUAAAGAAGUUCCUCUAAUGCAUUUUGCGCUCGGAUUCGAUGGUUUUCGGAAUUUUAAAUUUUGCCGAGUUGCGCAAACCUGGUGUAAAUUGAAAAGGUAACCCUCGUACACAGGAGCUUCGUCGCACAUUACUUCAAAUAGACAAUUGUUAAAAAAUUGAAUUUUUUUUACAUGUCACUCUGUUUUAUUAUUGGGAAUAGAGUAAAUCUAGAAAUUGUAUGUGCUGAUGUCUAAUCACAAUCUUGUUUGAGGCGGUAACUUAUAUGCUUUUUGUUAAGUGCUUUAGAGAAAGGACUCCAGGGUAGGAAUCUUGGAAAAGCAGAAUUUUUUUCUUUUUUUGAAACAAAAGAUAAAGAAUUUUGAGUCGCAUUGGUAUGUACUGCCAGUUUUAUCUCAAUAUUUUUUGUAUAGCUUUGUAUGCAAGUUUUUCGCGGUACUAUAUAAUUGUCGCUCUAUCAGAUCGAAAUACUAAGCUGAAAUUGAUUUGCAAAGCUAUAAUAAUAUGAACAAGGGAAAAAAGAAGAGAGAAGGAAGCGAAAGCAAUAUUGAGCUUCUCUAGUUAUCAUCUUCUAUAAACCAAAUCUGCAUUGUUUGUCCUGAACCUUUCUCUCGUUGUCCGUCAGCCAACAUCUCUAGAUUAUUUAUCGUUCCAUGGAUCGACAUGUUCUGAUUUAUCGAUCGCUGUUUUCGACGAAGAUCCUAAUAAAAUUUCACUGCUUCUCCAAGAAUAUCCAUAUAACAAAAAAAAAAACGUAACAAUUAUAAUUUUUUUUAUUUAAGAUGCAAUAUUUCUUUAUUAAUUCAUUAUAUUUUUUAUUAUUAAUUAUUUAUUUAUUUAAAUAUUUAUUGAUUUAUUGACCUCC